AGUGAACGCUGGCGGUAGGCCUAACACAUGCAAGUCGAACGGCAGCACAGUAAGAGCUUGCUCUUACGGGUGGCGAGUGGCGGACGGGUGAGGAAUACAUCGGAAUCUACUUUUUCGUGGGGGAUAACGUAGGGAAACUUACGCUAAUACCGCAUACGACCUACGGGUGAAAGCAGGGGAUCUUCGGACCUUGCGCGAUUGAAUGAGCCGAUGUCGGAUUAGCUAGUUGGCGGGGUAAAGGCCCACCAAGGCGACGAUCCGUAGCUGGUCUGAGAGGAUGAUCAGCCACACUGGAGCUGAGACACGGUCCGGACUCCUACGGGAGGCAGCAGUGGGGAAUAUGGGACAAGGGGCGCAAGCCUGAUCCAGCCAUACCGCGUGGGUGAAGAAGGCCUUCGGGUUGUAAAGCCCUUUUGUGGUGAAAGAAAAGCAGCAGGUUAAUACCCCGCUGUUCUGACGGUACCCAAAGAAUAAGCACCGGCUAACUUCGUG
rnacentral:rRNA from 1 species